rnacentral:rRNA from 1 species
GUCUGUAUGAAGUUAUAUGGAGUCUAACCUGCCCAUUGAAUAAUUUAAAAGGCCGCGGUAUAUUAACUGUGCAAAGGUAGCAUAAUCAUUAGUUUUUUAAUUGAAGGCUUGUAUGAACGGUUGGACAAAGGAUAAUCUGUUUUUAUUUUUGUUUUUGAACUUAACUUUUAAGUGAAAAGGCUUAAAUAAAUUUAAGGGACGAUAAGACCCUAUAAAUCUUUACAUUAAUUUUUUUUUUUCUAUAAAUUUAUGAAUGUAAAUAAAAGAUAAAAUAAUAAAUGUUAUAUUGGGGUGAUAAGAAUAUAAAUAUAAACUGUUCUAAAUUAUAAUCAAAGUUGUUUGAAAAUAAUAGAUCCUUUUUAGAGAUUAAAAGUUUAAGUUACUUUAGGGAUAACAGCGUUAUUUUUCUUGAGAGUUCUAAUCGAAAGAAAAGUUUGCGACCUCGAUGUUGAAUUAAAAUUUCUUUAUGGUGUAGUAGUUAUAGAAGAGAGUCUGUUCGACUUUUAAAUUUUU